rnacentral:rRNA from 1 species
AUUGAACGCUGGCGGAAUGCUUUACACAUGCAAGUCGAACGGUAGAGGGGGCAACCCCUUGAGAGUGGCGAACGGGUGAGUAAUAUAUCGGAACGUGCCCAGUCGUGGGGAUAACGUAGCGAAAGUUACGCUAAUACCGCAUACGAUCUAAGGAUGAAAGCGGGGGACUCGCAAGAGCCUCGCGCGAUUGGAGCGGCCGAUAUCAGAUUAGGUAGUUGGUGGGGUAAGGCUCACCAAGCCAACGAUCUGUAGCUGGUCUGA